rnacentral:rRNA from 1 species
AACGAACGCUGGCGGCAUGCCUAACACAUGCCAGUCGAACGAGACCUUCGGGUCUGGUGGCGCACGGGGGCGUAACGCGUGGGAACCUGCCCUUAGGUUCGGAAUAACUCCCCGAAAGGGGUGCUAAUACCGGAUAAUGACUUCGGACUAAAGAGUUAUCGCCUUUGGAUGGUCCCGCGUUGGAUUAGCUAGUUGGUAGGGUAAAAGCCUACCAAGGGUACGAUCGAUAGCUGGUCUGAGAGGAUGAUCAGCCACACUGGGACUGAGACACGGCCCAGACUCCUACGGGAGGCAGCAGUGGGGAAUAUUGGACAAUGGGCGAGAGCCUGAUCCAGCAAUGCUGCGUGAUGGAUGAAGGCCUUAGGGUUGUAAAGCUCUUGUACCCGGGAUGAUAAUGACAGUACCGUGAGAAUAAGCUCCGGCUAACUCCGUG